UUGGGACACAGAGGUGGGCCAGGCCCCUGGGCCAGUGCCACUGCCAGGUGUGCCAGCCUUGGGCACAGGCUUUGGGGGAAAGAGUGGGGUUAGUGUCAUCCGAAAGCCCUGGCCUGCCCUCAGAGAAGGCCCAUCACAGAGCACGCCCUGGGAUGGCCACCAGCCUCGGCCAUGAAAGGCAAGGCUUUGGUUUUCUCUCUCCUCAGAAAUCAACGACCGGGAGCAGAAGUUGCAUGCCCUUAAGGAGGUAUUAAAGAAAUUUCCAAAGGAAAACCACGAGGUCUUCAAGUAUGUCAUCUCUCACCUAAACAAGGUCAGCCACAACAACAAGGUGAAUCUCAUGACCAGCGAGAACCUCUCCAUCUGCUUCUGGCCCACCUUGAUGAGACCUGAUUUCAGCACUAUGGACGCCCUCACAGCCACGCGCACCUACCAGACAAUCAUUGAACUCUUCAUCCAGCAGUGCCCCUUCUUCUUCUACAAUCGGCCCAUCACCGAGCCCCCCGGCGCCAGGCCCAGCUCCCCCUCCGCCGUGGCUUCCACCGUCCCCUUCCUCACUUCCACGCCUGUCACAAGUCAGCCGUCGCCCCCACAGUCACCUCCACCCACCCCCCAGUCCCCAAUGCAGCCACUGCUUCCCUCCCAGCUUCAAGCCGAACACACACUGUGAGCCACCAAGACCUGGGGCAACAGGAGAACCGGUCUUCUCUCUGACGGGUUGGCAUUUGGCCUUGAACAAAACCAAGUCCACUGGGGACAGAGGCAGGGGCAAGUGGCUCUCCCCAUCACCUUCUCAAGACCUCAGUGGGAGCACCAGCCAAUGGUACCAUGGGCCGGGCUGCCAGGUACCCUGGGCCCGGCGCUGCAGACCUGAGCUGGCUGCAGGCAGCAGCCGUGGGGCCCUGUCCUUUGACUUGGACCCAUUUGAGGACUGAACUAGGCAGGCAAUGGCCCCAGUGCCCUCC
rnacentral:sRNA from 1 species